UACGUAGGGGGCAAGCGUUGUCCGGAUUCAUUGGCGUAAAGAGCGUGUAGGCGGCCAGGUAGGUCGGUUGUGAAAACUGGAGGCUCAACCUUCAGAGGUCGACCGAAACCAUCUGGCUAGAGUCCGGGAGAGGAGAGUGGAAGUUCCUGGUGUAGCGGUGAAAUGCGCAGAUAUCAGGAAGAACACCCGUGGCGAAAGCGGCUCUCUGGAACGGUACUGACGCUGAGACGCGAAAGCGUGGGGAGCGAACAGG
rnacentral:rRNA from 1 species